UGGGGAAUAUUGCACAAUGGGCGCAAGCCUGAUGCAGCCAUGCCGCGUGUGUGAAGAAGGCCUUCGGGUUGUAAAGCACUUUCAGUCGUGAGGAAGGUGGUAGUGUUAAUAGCACUAUCAUUUGACGUUAGCGACAGAAGAAGCACCGGCUAACUCCGUGCCAGCAGCCGCGGUAAUACGGAGGGUGCGAGCGUUAAUCGGAAUUACUGGGCGUAAAGCGCAUGCAGGUGGUUUGUUAAGUCAGAUGUGAAAGCCCGGGGCUCAACCUCGGAAUAGCAUUUGAAACUGGCAGACUAGAGUACUGUAGAGGGGGGUAGAAGUUUCAGGUGUAGCGGUGAAAUGCGUAGAGAUCUGAAGGAAUACCGGUGGCGAAGGCGGCCCCCUGGACAGAUACUGACACUCAGAUGCGAAAAGCGUGGGGAGCAAAACAGGAUUAGAUACCCUGGUAGUCCACGCCGUAAACGAUGUCUACUUGGAGGUUGUGGCCUUGAGCCGUGGCUUUCGGAGCUAACGCGUUAAGUAGACCGCCUGGGAGUACGGUCGCAAGAUUAAAA
rnacentral:rRNA from 1 species